AGCGUACACGGUGGAUGCCCUGGCAGUCAGAGGCGAUGAAGGACGUGCUAAUCUGCGAUAAGCGUCGGUAAGGUGAUAUGAACCGUUAUAACCGGCGAUUUCCGAAUGGGGAAACCCAGUGUGUUUCGACACACUAUCAUUAACUGAAUCCAUAGGUUAAUGAGGCGAACCGGGGGAACUGAAACAUCUAAGUACCCCGAGGAAAAGAAAUCAACCGAGAUUCCCCCAGUAGCGGCGAGCGAACGGGGAGCAGCCCAGAGCCUGAAUCAGUGUGUGUGUUAGUGGAAGCGUCUGGAAAGGCGCGCGAUACAGGGUGACAGCCCCGUACACAAAAAUGCACAUGCUGUGAGCUCGAUGAGUAGGGCGGGACACGUGGUAUCCUGUCUGAAUAUGGGGGGACCAUCCUCCAAGGCUAAAUACUCCUGACUGACCGAUAGUGAACCAGUACCGUGAGGGAAAGGCGAAAAGAACCCCGGCGAGGGGAGUGAAAAAGAACCUGAAACCGUGUACGUACAAGCAGUGGGAGCACGCUUAGGCGUGUGACUGCGUACCUUUUGUAUAAUGGGUCAGCGACUUAUAUUCUGUAGCAAGGUUAACCGAAUAGGGGAGCCGAAGGGAAACCGAGUCUUAACUGGGCGUUAAGUUGCAGGGUAUAGACCCGAAACCCGGUGAUCUAGCCAUGGGCAGGUUGAAGGUUGGGUAACACUAACUGGAGGACCGAACCGACUAAUGUUGAAAAAUUAGCGGAUGACUUGUGGCUGGGGGUGAAAGGCCAAUCAAACCGGGAGAUAGCUGGUUCUCCCCGAAAGCUAUUUAGGUAGCGCCUCGUGAAUUCAUCUCCGGGGGUAGAGCACUGUUUCGGCAAGGGGGUCAUCCCGACUUACCAACCCGAUGCAAACUGCGAAUACCGGAGAAUGUUAUCACGGGAGACACACGGCGGGUGCUAACGUCCGUCGUGAAGAGGGAAACAACCCAGACCGCCAGCUAAGGUCCCAAAGUCAUGGUUAAGUGGGAAACGAUGUGGGAAGGCCCAGACAGCCAGGAUGUUGGCUUAGAAGCAGCCAUCAUUUAAAGAAAGCGUAAUAGCUCACUGGUCGAGUCGGCCUGCGCGGAAGAUGUAACGGGGCUAAACCAUGCACCGAAGCUGCGGCAGCGACGCUUAUGCGUUGUUGGGUAGGGGAGCGUUCUGUAAGCCUGCGAAGGUGUGCUGUGAGGCAUGCUGGAGGUAUCAGAAGUGCGAAUGCUGACAUAAGUAACGAUAAAGCGGGUGAAAAGCCCGCUCGCCGGAAGACCAAGGGUUCCUGUCCAACGUUAAUCGGGGCAGGGUGAGUCGACCCCUAAGGCGAGGCCGAAAGGCGUAGUCGAUGGGAAACAGGUUAAUAUUCCUGUACUUGGUGUUACUGCGAAGGGGGGACGGAGAAGGCUAUGUUGGCCGGGCGACGGUUGUCCCGGUUUAAGCGUGUAGGCUGGUUUUCCAGGCAAAUCCGGAAAAUCAAGGCUGAGGCGUGAUGACGAGGCACUACGGUGCUGAAGCAACAAAUGCCCUGCUUCCAGGAAAAGCCUCUAAGCAUCAGGUAACAUCAAAUCGUACCCCAAACCGACACAGGUGGUCAGGUAGAGAAUACCAAGGCGCUUGAGAGAACUCGGGUGAAGGAACUAGGCAAAAUGGUGCCGUAACUUCGGGAGAAGGCACGCUGAUAUGUAGGUGAAGUCCCUCGCGGAUGGAGCUGAAAUCAGUCGAAGAUACCAGCUGGCUGCAACUGUUUAUUAAAAACACAGCACUGUGCAAACACGAAAGUGGACGUAUACGGUGUGACGCCUGCCCGGUGCCGGAAGGUUAAUUGAUGGGGUCAGCGCAAGCGAAGCUCUUGAUCGAAGCCCCGGUAAACGGCGGCCGUAACUAUAACGGUCCUAAGGUAGCGAAAUUCCUUGUCGGGUAAGUUCCGACCUGCACGAAUGGCGUAAUGAUGGCCAGGCUGUCUCCACCCGAGACUCAGUGAAAUUGAACUCGCUGUGAAGAUGCAGUGUACCCGCGGCAAGACGGAAAGACCCCGUGAACCUUUACUAUAGCUUGACACUGAACAUUGAGCCUUGAUGUGUAGGAUAGGUGGGAGGCUUUGAAGUGUGGACGCCAGUCUGCAUGGAGCCGACCUUGAAAUACCACCCUUUAAUGUUUGAUGUUCUAACGUGGACCCGUGAUCCGGGUUGCGGACAGUGUCUGGUGGGUAGUUUGACUGGGGCGGUCUCCUCCUAAAGAGUAACGGAGGAGCACGAAGGUUGGCUAAUCCUGGUCGGACAUCAGGAGGUUAGUGCAAUGGCAUAAGCCAGCUUGACUGCGAGCGUGACGGCGCGAGCAGGUGCGAAAGCAGGUCAUAGUGAUCCGGUGGUUCUGAAUGGAAGGGCCAUCGCUCAACGGAUAAAAGGUACUCCGGGGAUAACAGGCUGAUACCGCCCAAGAGUUCAUAUCGACGGCGGUGUUUGGCACCUCGAUGUCGGCUCAUCACAUCCUGGGGCUGAAGUAGGUCCCAAGGGUAUGGCUGUUCGCCAUUUAAAGUGGUACGCGAGCUGGGUUUAGAACGUCGUGAGACAGUUCGGUCCCUAUCUGCCGUGGGCGCUGGAGAACUGAGGGGGGCUGCUCCUAGUACGAGAGGACCGGAGUGGACGCAUCACUGGUGUUCGGGUUGUCAUGCCAAUGGCACUGCCCGGUAGCUAAAUGCGGAAGAGAUAAGUGCUGAAAGCAUCUAAGCACGAAACUUGCCCCGAGAUGAGUUCUCCCUGACUCCUUGA
rnacentral:rRNA from 1 species